ACGGGUGUAGCUCAAUUGGCAGAGCGGUGGUCUCCAAAACCACAGGUUGGGAGUUCGAGUCUCUUCACCCGUG
rnacentral:tRNA from 1 species